GAUGAACGCUGGCGGCGUGCCUAAUACAUGCAAGUAGAACGCUGAAGGAGGAGCUUGCUCUUCUGGAUGAGUUGCGAACGGGUGAGUAACGCGUAGGUAACCUGCCUGGUAGCGGGGGAUAACUAUUGGAAACGAUAGCUAAUACCGCAUGACAACAGCUAUUGCAUGAUAACUGUUUAAAAGGGGCAACUGCUCCACUACCAGAUGCACCUGCGGUGCAUUAGCUAGUUGGUGAGGUAACGGCUCACCAAGGCGACGAUACAUAGCCGACCGGCGAGGGUGGUCAGCCACACUGAGACGGAGACACGGCACAGACUCAUACGGGAGGCAGCAGGAGGGAAACUGCGGCAAGGGGCGGAAGUCUGACCGAGCAACGCCGCGGGAGUGAGGAGGGGUGUCGGGUCGGAGAGGUCUGUUGUAGGGGAAGAACGAGUGUGAGAGUGGAAAGUUCACACUGUGACGGUAACUUACCAGAAAGGGACGGCUAACUACGUG
rnacentral:rRNA from 1 species